rnacentral:rRNA from 1 species
GACGAACGCUGGCGGCGUGCUUAACACAUGCAAGUCGAACGGUGAAGGGACCGGUUUUUGCUGGUUCUGGAUGAGUGGCGAACGGGUGAGUAACACGUGAGUAACCUGCCCCCUUCUUCUGGAUAACCGCAUGAAAGUGUGGCUAAUACGGGAUAUUCUGCGCCUGCUGCAUGGUGGGUGUGGGAAAGAUAUUGUUUCGGUGGGGGAUGGGCUCGCGGCCUAUCAGCUUGUUGGUGGGGUGAUGGCCUACCAAGGCGGUGACGGGUAGCCGGCCUGAGAGGGUGGACGGUCACACUGGGACUGAGACACGGCCCAGACUCCUACGGGAGGCAGCAGUGGGGAAUAUUGCACAACGGGCGCAAGCCUGAUGCAGCGACGCCGCGUGAGGGAUGGAGGCCUUCGGGUUGUAAACCUCUUUCGCCAGUGAAGCAGGCCUGUCCCUUUUGUGGGUGGGUUGACGGUAGCUGGAUAAGAAGCGCCGGCUAACUACGUG